UUUUCUCUUCGAGAAUCCCACAUUUAAGCGAAAAUCACGCGUUUUCUCUUCGAGAAUGAAACAUUUAACGAAAAUCACGCGUUUUCUCAAAUCCCCCAUUUAAGCGAAAAUCACGCAUUUUCUCUUCGAGAAUCCAACAUUUAACCAGAAAAUCAUGCUUUUUCUCUUCGGAAAUCCCCCAUUUAAGCGAAAAUCACGCGUUUUCUCUUCGCAAAUCCCCCAUUUAACCAGAAAACCAAGCAUUUUCUCUUCGAGAAUCCCCCAUUUAACCCGAAAAUCAUGUGUUUUCUCAAAUCCAACAUUUAAGCGAAAAUCACACGUUUUCUCUUCGCAAAUCCCCCAUUUAACUUGAAAAUCACGCGUUUUCUCUUCGGAAAUCCCCCAUUUAAGCGAAAAUCACGCGUUUUCUCUUCGAGAAUCCAACAUUUAACUAGAAAAUCAUGUGUUUUCUCAAAUCCCCCAUUUAAGCGAAAAUCACGCGUUUUCUCUUCGGAAAUCCCCCAUUUAACCAGAAAACCAAGCAUUUUCUCUUCGAGAAUCCCCCAUUUAACCCGAAAAUCAUGUGUUUUCUCAAAUCCCACAUUUAAGCGAAAAUCACGCAUUUUCUCUUCGCAAAUCCCCCAAUUAACCCAAAAAACCACGAGUUUUCUCUUCCGAAAUCCCACAUUUAACCAGAAAUCACACGUUUUCCCUUCGCAAAACCCCCAUUUAAGCGAAAAUCUCGCGUUUUCUCUUUGAGAAUCGUCAAUUUAAGUGAAAAUCAAGCGUUUUCUCUUUGAGAAUCCCCCACUUAAGUGAAGAUCAUGAAUUUUCUCUUCUCAAAUACCCCAUUUAAGCGAAAAUCACGCGUUUUCUCUUCGGAAAUCCCCCAUUUAACUUGAAAAUCACGCGUUUUCUCUUCGAGAAUCCAACAUUUAACGAAAAUCACGCGUUUUCUCAAAUCCCCCAUUUAACUUGAAAAUCACGCGUUUUCUCUUCGCAAAUCCCCCAUUUAACCAGAAAACCAAGCAUUUUCUCUUCAAGAAUCCCCCAUUUAACCCGAAAAUCAUGUGUUUUCUCAAAUCCCCCAUUUAAGCGAAAAUCACGCGAUUUCUCUUCGCAAAUCCCCCAAUUAACCCAAAAAAACACGAGUUUUCUCUUCCGAAAUCCCCCAUUUAACCAGAAAUCACACGUUUUCCCUUCGCAAAACCCCCAUUUAAGCGAAAAUCUCGCGUUUUCUCUUUGAGAAUCGUCAAUUUAAGUGAAAAUCAAGCGUUUUCUCUUUGAGAAUCCCCCAUUUAAGUGAAGAUCACGAAUUUUCUCUUCUCAAAUACCCCAUUUAAGCGAAAAAUCACGCGUUUUCUCUUCGCAAAUCCCCCAUUUAACUUGAAAAUCACGUUUUCUCUUCGAGAAUCCAACAUUUAAGCGAAAAUCACGUGUUUUCUCUUCGAGAAUCCAACAUUUAAGCGAAAAUCACACGUUUUCUCUUCGGAAAUCCCCCAUUUAACUUGAAAAUCACGCAUUUUCUCUUCGGAAAUCCCCCAUUUAAGCGAAAAUCACGCAUUUUCUCUUCGAGAAUCCAACAUUUAACCAGAAAAUCAAGCGUUUUCUCAAAUCCCCCAUUUAAGCGAAAAUCACGCGUUUUCUCUUCGGAAAUCCCCCAUUUAAGCAGAAAAUCACGCGUUUUCUCUUCGAGAAUCCAACAUUUAACCCGAAAAUCAUGUGUUUUCUCAAAUCCCCCAUUUAAGCGAAAAUCACGCGAUUUCUCUUUGCAAAUCCCCCAAUUAACCCAAAAAACCACGAGUUUUCUCUUCCGAAAUCCCCCAUUUAACCAGAAAUCACACGUUUUCCCUUCGCAAAACCCCCAUUUAAGCGAAAAUCUCGCGUUUUCUCUUUGAGAAUCGUCAAUUUAAGUGAAAAUCAAGCGUUUUCUCUUUGAGAAUCCCCCACUUAAGUGAAGAUCACGAAUUUUCUCUUCUCAAAUACCCCAUUUAAGCGAAAAUCACGCGUUUUCUCUUCGAGAAUCCAACAUUUAACGAAAAUCACGCGUUUUCUCUUCGCAAAUCCCCCAUUUAACCAGAAAACCAAGCAUUUUCUCUUCAAGAAUCCCCCAUUUAACCCGAAAAUCAUGUGUUUUCUCAAAUCCCCCAUUUAAGCGAAAAUCACGCGAUUUCUCUUCGCAAAUCCCCCAAUUAACCCAAAAAACCACGAGUUUUCUCUUCCGAAAUCCCCCAUUUAACCAGAAAUCACACGUUUUCCCUUCGCAAAACCCCCAUUUAAGCGAAAAUCUCGCGUUUUCUCUUUGAGAAUCGUCAAUUUAAGUGAAAAUCAAGCGUUUUCUAUUUGAGAAUCCCCCAUUUAAGUGAAGAUCAUGAAUUUUC
rnacentral:lncRNA from 1 species